GAUGAACGCUGGCGGCGUGCCUAAUACAUGCAAGUCGAGCGGUAAGGCUCCUUCGGGAGUACACGAGCGGCGGACGGGUGAGUAAUACGUAGGAACGUACCCCAAAGUGAGGAAUAACCAGCCGAAAGGUUGGCUAAUACCGCAUAUGCUCUACGGAGUAAAGCAGCAAUGCGCUUUGGGAACGGCCUGCGUCCGAUUAGCUAGUUGGUAAGGUAAAGGCUUACCGAGGCGACGAUCGGUAGCUGUUCUGAGAGGAUGACCAGCCACACUGGAACUGAGACACGGUCCAGACUCCUACGGGAGGCAGCAGUAGGGAAUUUUCCACAAUGGGCGAAAGCCUGAUGGAGCAACGCCGCGUGCAGGAUGAAGGCCUUAGGGUUGUAAACUGCUUUUAUCUGUGACGAUUAUGACAGUAGCAGAUGAAUAAGGAUCGGCUAACUCCGUGCCAGCCGCCGCCGUAA
rnacentral:rRNA from 1 species